GAUGAACGCUGGCGGCGUGCUUAACACAUGCAAGUCGAACGAUGAAGCCCAGCUUGCUGGGUGGAUUAGUGGCGAACGGGUGAGUAACACGUGGGUAACCUGCCCUUAACUCUGGGAUAAGCCUGGGAAACUGGGUCUAAUACCGGAUAGGAGCGCCUACCGCAUGGUGGGUGUUGGAAAGAUUUAUCGGUUUUGGAUGGACUCGCGGCCUAUCAGCUUGUUGGUGAGGUAAUGGCUCACCAAGGCGACGACGGGUAGCCGGCCUGAGAGGGUGACCGGCCACACUGGGACUGAGACACGGCCCAGACUCCUACGGGAGGCAGCAGUGGGGAAUAUUGCACAAUGGGCGAAAGCCUGAUGCAGCGACGCCGCGUGAGGGAUGACGGCCUUCGGGUUGUAAACCUCUUUCAGUAGGGAAGAAGCGAAAGUGACGGUACCUGCAGAAGAAGCACCGGCUAACUACGU
rnacentral:rRNA from 1 species